rnacentral:rRNA from 2 species
UACGUAGGUCCCGAGCGUUGUCAGGAUUUAUUGGGCGUAAAGCGAGCGCAGGUGGUUUAUUAAGUCUGGUGUAAAAGGCAGUGGCUCAACCAUUGUAUGCAUUGGAAACUGGUAGACUUGAGUGCAGGAGAGGAGAGUGGAAUUCCAUGUGUAGCGGUGAAAUGCGUAGAUAUAUGGAGGAACACCGGUGGCGAAAGCGGCUCUCUGGCCUGUAACUGACACUGAGGCUCGAAAGCGUGGGGAGCAAACAGG